rnacentral:rRNA from 1 species
AUUACCGCGGCUGCUGGCACGGAGUUAGCCGGUGCUUCCUUUGGAGGUACCGUCACCCGCCUUGCGGCGUAUUCGUCCCUCCCGACAGUGGUUUACAAUCCGAAGACCGUCAUCCCACACGCGGCGUCGCUGCGUCAGACUUUCGUCCAUUGCGCAAUAUUCCCCACUGCUGCCUCCCGUAGG